CUUCAUUUGCUGCAGUACAGGUUUCUCGGACACUGUAUAAUUACUAUACUGAACCUGGAACGGAAUUGAAGAUUUUGAGUUAUAAUGUUUGUUUCCGAGAAGACUUGGAAAUUCAUAAGAGGAUGAAAGCUGUGGGUGACCUUAUUCAGAUGCAUUCCCCUGAUCUGAUAUGCUUCCAGGAGGUUACUUUCAAAAUCUAUGACAUUUUUCAACAAUCCAGCUGGUGGAACUUGUACCGUUGCUCAGUUUCAAAUAUGAUGGAAUAUAAAAGCAGAUCCUUCUGCAUGCAGGUGAGAUUCUUAUGAUUUUUCCUUAUCAUUUUUUAUUUCUGGUUUUCUUGAAAGAGGGAUGUCUAGGGUCAAGGAAAUUGACCCAUUCACGCAACUGUAUGCAUCUAGCUGAUCAAUUAUAAAAAUAUUAGAAUAGAUGUCCAAAAUUUCCAAAAUCUUCCUCUAUUUGAAUAUUAUAAAAAAUCUUCAUAUUCUGACCAGUAAC